CCUUCCCCCGUUCCCCGCGGCCACGGCCCCACACCCACCGCCAAAGAAGUAGUAGUAGCAGCCGCGACGCGAGCAAGCAGGGGCGAGCGCGCGGGGACCUGUCGCCGGGCUCCAAGGAACCGCCGCGGAGCUGGAUCGGGGGACGAGAACUCGAGCGUUCAAGCCUCGCCUCCUCUGCGGACGGAACCUGAGCGCGUCUCGCCGGUUUGUCUCUGUCUCUCUGUUCUUGGGGAACACGGACGAAGGAAUCGAGGGCUUCCAGUGUCAGGCCUAGGCUUCACUGCACAACCUGAUUUGAACAGUUCUAACUCAGUGCUUGCACAAAUGAUUCAAAGAAGCAAUAAUUAGGUAAUGUUCUGGUUCAUCUUCAAUUUUCUUAGUGCCGUAUUGCAUGAUUCAUCCAAUAGCUCUGUAUCAAGUGACCUCUAGUUUUUUAUUAGCUAUACUAUCUGAUCAAAUGCUAGUUGCGUUUGCUAAUUCAUCAAAGAAGCAAGCACAGCUGACUAGUGUAUUUGUGUUACG